UCUGGUUGAUCCUGCCUGAACUGAUGUGUUCAUUUCAAAGAUUAAGCCAUGCAUGUAUAAGUUUAAUCGUUUUAACGAGAAACCGCGAACGGCUCAUUACAAUGGCCAUGAUUUACUUGAUCUUGAUUAUCUAAAUGGAUAACUGUGGAAAAGCUAGAGCUAAUACAUGCACCAAAGCUUUGUCCUCUCGGAAAAGCGCAUUUAUUAGAACAAAACCACGCGGCUUCGGCUGCUUCUUGUUGACUCAGAAUAACUAAGCUGACCGCAUGGCCUUGUGCCGGCGGCGUGUCUUUCAAGCGUCCACUUUAUCAACUUGACGGGAGCAUAAUCGACUCCCGUGGUGGUGACGGAUAACGGAGGAUCAGGGUUCGACUCCGGAGAAGGGGCCUGAGAAAUGGCCACUACGUCUAAGGAUGGCAGCAGGCGCGCAAAUUACCCACUCUCGGCUCGAGGAGGUAGUGACGAGAAAUAACGAGAUCGUUCUCUUUGAGGCCGGUCAUCGGAAUGGGUACAAUUUAAACCCUUUAACGAGUAUCAAGCAGAGGGCAAGUCUGGUGCCAGCAGCCGCGGUAAUUCCAGCUCUGCUAAUACAUAGAAUUAUUGCUGCGGUUAAAAAGCUCGUAGUUGGAUUCGUAUCGGUACCCUGGAACACUCCGGGUGUUUCUGGGUGUUAUCGAUUUAUCGUAAUGUUCGGUUUUGAGUCCUUAACAGGAUUCUUAACAGGCAUUGCAAGUUUACUUUGAACAAAUCAGAGUGCUUCAAACAGGCGUUUUCGCUUGAAUGAUCGUGCAUGGAAUAAUAGAAAACGAUUUCGGUUCAGUUUUAUUGGUUUUACGGACUGAGAUAAUGGUUAACAGAGACAAACGGGGGCAUUUGUAUGGCCCCGUGAGAGGUGAAAUUCUUGGACCGUGGCCAGACAAACUACAGCGAAAGCAUUUGCCAAGAAUGUCUUCAUUAAUCAAGAACGAAAGUCAGAGGUUCGAAGGCGAUCAGAUACCGCCCUAGUUCUGACCGUAAACGAUGCCAACUAGCGAUCCGCCGAUGGAAAUUAUAUUGCCUUGGUGGGGAGCUUCCCGGAAACGAAAGUCUUCCGGUUCCGGGGGAAGUAUGGUUGCAAAGCUGAAACUUAAAGGAAUUGACGGAAGGGCACCACCAGGAGUGGAGCCUGCGGCUUAAUUUGACUCAACACGGGGAAACUCACCCGGCCCGGACACUGUGAGGAUUGACAGAUUGAUAGCUUUUUCAUGAUUCAGUGGAUGGUGGUGCAUGGCCGUUCUUAGUUCGUGGAGUGAUUUGUCUGGUUUAUUCCGAUAACGAGCGAGACUCUAACCUACUAAAUAGCUGGUACAUAAUUUAAGUGUAUACAGCUUCUUAGAGGGAUUUGCGGUGUUCAGCCGAAAGAAAUUGAGCAAUAACAGGUCUGUGAUGCCCUUAGAUGUCCGGGGCUGCACGCGCGCUACACUGGCAAAAUCAACGUGCUUGUCCUACCCCGAAAGGGGCGGGUAAACCAUUGAAAAUUUGCCGUGAUUGGGAUCGGAAAUUGCAAUUAUUUUCCGUGAACGAGGAAUUCCAAGUAAGUGCGAGUCAUCAGCAUCACUCGGCUCGUGGAUCGAUGAAGAACGCAGCAAACUGCGAUAAUUUGUGCGAACUGCAGAAACCUUGAGCACAAAAGUUUUGAACGCAUAUUGCCGCAUUGGGGUCAAACCCUUUGCUACGUCUGGUUCAGGGUCAUUUUCUUUUAAAGCGAAA
rnacentral:rRNA from 1 species